GACCCAAUUUGACUAACGUGGAAGUCUCCGUUACCGUCUUCUUAGAAACGGGUUUGAAGAAAAAAAAAAUUGCAACUUUGAUUCAGAGACAGAGAGAGAGAGAACGGGUAAAAAGUGGGUAAAAUCCCAAUAAUAAAGAAUGACAUCUCUGGAGCUAUUGUUCUUCUUCUUCUUCUUCACCGCCCCCGUGCUCGGAUACAAGCUCCCCAAACCCGAAAAUUCAUCUCUAUGAUUGAGGUAGAAACGAGGGGGUAAAAGCCUCAGUUCAUUGAGGAUUGAGGUAGAAAGAAGUCGAGGUACCUCCCUCUGGUACCCUUCCCAAAGCCAUAUCACCGAUCAUGGGAUCGGUUAAUCCCAUUCUCGCCUCCGCCGAAAAACGAAGAAUUUCGAAGAAGAACUGGUGCAGAUUAAAGAAUCAGCCCCCUCCAACUUAUCAUUCAAGGCAUUCGACGAUCCCUCUCCCUUUGCAUGUUGAAGACCGCUUCCAAGCUUGGAGCUGAUUCCAAGCAGAAAUCUGUUCAAACUGUCACAAAAACUGAGAAUCGUGUGUAGCACGGGAAAAUCCAUACAGGUUGAAUGGUUGGUUGACUGGGUUGAGAUCUAUUGCUUGUCGGCAAGGUUUCGUGGCCAUAGGAGGUUAAUAUGCAGAUACUUGAUGUGAGGUGAAAGAUCGGAUCGGAGUUGGAUGACAGGUGGUGGUUUGGAUCGAGGAUUGGUGGCCAUCGUCAGUUUCGGUGGUUCUGCGUUCCUUGCAGAACUCGAAAUGGGCCUGGACUUGGUGGUUCGAAAUGGGCCUGGACGUUCGAAGGGCCUAGGCGUUUGCCAUGGGCUUGGGGUUUUUUAUUGUUUUUAUUUAUUUUGUAUGUAUUUUUAUUUUUUAUGAAUAAAUAAACUACACUUUGUUAUCUCAAAUUUGUCCGUGACAUAAAACUAAAAUGG